rfam:Cryptobacterium curtum DSM 15641, complete genome.
GAGCGCGGCCAUGGAGGCGGGGAUCACCCGGUCCCAUCCCGAACCCGGCAGUUAAGCCCGCCCUCGCCGAAAGUACUACGGAGGUAAGUCCGUGGGAGGAUAGGGCGCCGCGCUCG